CAGAAGGGAAAACUAAGGCACAGUGGAGUCAUAUAUUUGCUCAAGCUCAUGAAACUUGUGAUUGACAGAACUGGAUGAGAUGUCUGGAUCCAGAGUCCACCUUCGUAGCCACUGUUCCGUCAUGUGUUUCAAGAGAGUCCAGAUGGGGCAUUCAUCAGAAGGAUGUCGUAGGAAAGAGUGUGUUCCAGAUGGCGGGACAAGUCAAGGAAGGAUGAGUUACCAGGAUGCAGACAUAAUCCUCACAUGCAAAAGAGGAAACUGAGGCCCAAGAGAUUAAGUCAUGUGCCCAAAGUCUCACAUCUGAUAAUUAGACCAAAUUGGAAUUUGAACCCAGGCUGGGGUGCAGUGGCAUGAUCUCAGCUCACUGUAACCUCCGCCUCCUUGGUUCAAGCAAUUCUCCUGCCUCAGCCUCCCGAGUAGCUGGGAUUACAG